rnacentral:rRNA from 1 species
UCGGGUUGUAAAGCACUUUUGUCCGGAAAGAAAACACGUGCCCUAAUACGGUGUGUGGAUGACGGUACCGGAAGAAUAAGCACCGGCUAACUACGUGCCAGCAGCCGCGGUAAUACGUAGGGUGCGAGCGUUAAUCGGAAUUACUGGGCGUAAAGCGUGCGCAGGGCGGUUUGCUAAGACCGAUGUGAAAUCCCCGGGCUUAACCUUGGGAACUGCAUUGGUGACUGGCAGGCUAGAGUAUGGCAGAGGGGGGGUAGAAUUCCACGUGUAGCAGUGAAAUGCGUAGAGAUGUGGAGGAAUACCGAUGGCGAAGGCAGCCCCCCUGGGCCAAUACUGACGCUCAUGCACGAAAGCGUGGGGAGCAAACAGGAUUAGAUACCCUGGUAGUCCACGCCCUAAACGAUGUCAACUAGUUGUUGGGGAUUCAUUUCCUUAGUAACGUAGCUAACGCGUGAAGUUGACCGCCUGGGGAGUACGGUCGCAAGAUUAAAACUCAAAGGAAUUGACGGGGACCCGCACAAGCGGUGGAUGAUGUGGAUUAAUUCGAUGCAACGCGAAAAACCUUACCUACCCUUGACAUGGACGGAAGGCCGCUG